rnacentral:tRNA from 1 species
GCGCCCGUGGCUCAAUGGAUAGAGCAUCGGACUUCGGAUCCGACGGUUGGGGGUUCAAGUCCCUCCGGGCGCACCA